rnacentral:lncRNA from 1 species
UUCUGCAGCAGGUCUGACUGGAUCUGAUGUCUGCCAGAGACUGUUCAGCAGCCGGGCCCCGGAGGACACUGAGCUGGCAAAUCAGAUGCACACGACUUGCCUGGCUGUGCUGCGUCCAAGCUCUGCCUUCCUGCAACACAGGCUCUCCCCUUGAAGUUCACUGCAGCCAGAAACUCACAAGACAACGUGAGCAGUGUGCUCAUGCAGCUGGAUACUUCAAUGAAUGGUUCAAAUAAAGUAUCUGUUGUUUAAAAAUGAAGACUCUUCAGUGGACUAACACUUUACAGUAAAGCCCCCAAAGAAGGUAUGCUUCCCCUUUUCUAAAUGCUGUGACUAAAGUUAUUGAGAGAAAACUUGAGAUAAAAUGUGAGGCAUCCACCCUCACAUCUCUAUGUAAAACAAAACAAAAAAACCAAACCAAAACAAAACAAGACAGACAGAACCCGGGACAACGUUAUAUGGAUUCAGAGAAAGAAGAGACUCAAUCUGAUGAAGGUUCAAAAAGAAAAUGAAAGGAAAUAUCUGUCUGGAAAACUGAAUAAAGGAGAUGCACUGUGUUUGGACCCA